rnacentral:rRNA from 1 species
GAUCCUGGCUCAGGAUGAACGCUGGCGGCGUGCCUAACACAUGCAAGUCGAGCGAAGCGGUUUUAAGGAAGUUUUCGGAUGGAAUUAAAACUGACUGAGCGGCGGACGGGUGAGUAACGCGUGGGUAACCUGCCUCAUACAGGGGGAUAACAGUUAGAAAUGGCUGCUAAUACCGCAUAAGCACACAGCUUCGCAUGGAGAUGUGAAAACUACCGGUGGGUAUGAGAUGGACCCGCCGU